CCUACGGGUGGCAGCAGUGGGGAAUAUUGCACAAUGGGGGGAACCCUGAUGCAGCAACGCCGCGUGAGUGAAGAAGGAUUUCGGUAUGUAAAGCUCUAUCAGCAGGGAAGAAGAUGACGGUACCUGAGUAAGAAGCCCCGGCUAACUACGUGCCAGAAGCCGCCGUAAUACGUAGGGGGCAGGCGUUAUCCGGAUUUACUGGGGGUAAAGGGAGCGUAGACGGCGAGGCAAGUCUGGAGUGAAAGCCUGGGGCUCAACCCCGGGACUGCCUUGGAAACUGCCUGGCUUGAGUGCUGGAGAGGCAAGCGGAAUUCCUAGUGUAGCGGUGAAAUGCGUAGAUAUUAGGAAGAACACCAGUGGCGAAGGCGGCUUGCUGGACAGUAACUGACGUUGAGGCUCGAAAGCGUGGGGAGCAAACAGGAUUAGAUACCCGGGUAGUC
rnacentral:rRNA from 1 species